rnacentral:rRNA from 1 species
AUGGCGGAGGAGGCCGCGGCGCCUCUCCUCCACGGGCUCCCAGAUGAGAUCGUGGUAUGGGAGAUCCUCAUCCGCCUCGACCCCAAAUCCCUCCUCCGCUGCCGCGCAGUCCGCCGCGCCUGGCGCUGCGCCACCUCCGCCCGCCGCUUCCUCCUCGCCCACCACGCCCGCCAGCCAACCCUCCCCAUCGUCUUCGGCGACAGAUACCGUAACAUCCUUGCCUUGGAUCACCGGGCCUCCGCUGACGCCCAACUCCACACCAUCGCCCGGCUUGACGAGGACUUCAUGCUGGAGGCCUCCUGCGAUGGCCUCCUCCUCCUCUCCAAGUUUGACCACAUUGUUGGCUUUCGCACCUACCUCUCCGUCUGCAACCCGGCCACGAGUCAGCAUGCCUCCCUGAGGCCACUGUCAGGUUUUGACAUCUUGGGGAUGUACCCACACAGCCCUACCGGUGAGUACCGUCUGUUACUGCAACGGAUGAACUACAUGGACUCGUCUGAAUAUCAAAUUGGCUUCUAUGUCUUUGGGUUGGGCUCCAACGAGGCACCGAGGUACAUCGGGUGCUCAGAGACCAAAUUAGCGUUGGCGUUCUUCAAUGUACCUGUCCGGCUGCGUGAUAGCUUGCAUUGGUACCCACUGGAGUACCGGACUGAAAGCGACCAUUUGGAGUAUGAAGAAGAAAGCAAACUGGUGGUAACAGUAUUCGACACCAUAGCUGAGUCGUUUCGGCAGAUGCGUGCUCCACUUGUUUCCACCAAUUCAUCUAUCUUUAAGGUGGAUGACAUGCUUGGCAUCUGUAACUGUAACCAGGCCUUGGAAAUUGUUGAUAUAUGGGUGCUGCAGGACUACCAAAGUGAGGUUUGGGACUUAAAGUACCGGAUUGAAUUGCGGCUCGACGAACUCACAAAACUCAGGGGGGAGCUUGAAGGCCUUGAUGGUGAUGGCAAUUGGAGUCUGACCGCUGCUUCGGGUGAUGGUGACGUGCUCUUGCUGGUCAGUUUCAGUCACUGGAGUUUUGGUCACUGGCUGUUUUACGUUGACACUGAUGGCGAACUGGUUGCUAGCUUCCAAGACUUAUAUGCCUGUAAACAUCGGUUCAAACAAACUCUUGUUCCACAUGAUUUGUUCACGACACUAGAAGGUCAUGCUGUGGGCGCCUCACCACUCAUUUGA